rnacentral:rRNA from 1 species
AUCGCUUGAGUAGCAAUACGAGAGCGUGAGAGUGGCGGAAGGGCGAGUAAUGCGCGAGCAACCUGCCCCUUUGCCGGGAAUAACCCUUGGAAACGAGGGCUAAAGCCGGAUGAGGCGCUGGGGGGCAUCCCCCGGUUGUCAAACGCGGGGACCGCAAGGCCCGUGGCAAAGGGAUGGGCUCGCGUGACAUCAGCUAGUUGGUGGGGUAACGGCUCACCAAGGCUUACGUCUAGCUGGUCUGAGAGGACGACCAGCCGCACUGGGACUGAGACACUGCCCAGACUCCUACGGGAGGCUGCAGUCGAGGAUCAUUCGCAAUGGGCGCAAGCCUGACGAUGCGACGCUGCGUGGAGGAUGAAGGCCCUCGGGUCGUAAACUCCUGUCAUGGGGGAAAAAGGUACCUGCGGUAACAUCAAAGGUAUCGGAUUGUACCCCAAGAGGAAGCCACGGCUAACUCUGUGCCAGCAGCCGCGGUAAUACAGAGGUGGCGAGCGUUGUUCGGAUUUACUGGGCGUAAAGGGCGCGUAGGCGGCGGCGUAUGCCGGGUGUGAAAUCCGUGGGCUCAACCCACGAAGUGCGCCCGGAACUGCGUCGCUCGAGGUCGGGAGGGGAGAGCGGAAUGCAGGGUGUAGCGGUGAAAUGCGUUGAUAUCCUGCAGAACACCGGUGGCGAAGGCGGCUCUCUGGAACGAUUCUGACGCUGAGGCGCGAAAGCUGGGGGAGCAAACAGGAUUAGAUACCCUGGUAGUCCCAGCCUUAAACGGUGCACACUUGGCGUGGCGGGAUUUCACCCCCGCCGUGCCGAAGCGAACGCGUUAAGUGUGCCGCCUGGGGAGUACGGCCGCAAGGCUAAAACUCAAAGAAAUUGACGGGGGCCCGCACAAGCGGAGGAGCAUGUGGCUUAAUUCGAUGCACCGCGAAGAACCUUACCCGGGUUUGACAUGCAGCUGCACGGCCUAUGAAAAGUAGGCUUCCUUCGAGGGUGCUGCACAGGUGCUGCAUGGCUGUCGUC